rnacentral:lncRNA from 1 species
GGAAGAGCCCACCCAGUGCGCUUCAUGUGGCGCGAGUAACCAGGGGACGCUGCGGCGCGGGCAUGCCGGGACUUGUAGUUCUGGAAGAGGCAGCCGCCCUGCAAUCGGUGCGCGGAGUCUGAGCGAUCCCAGCCUAGAGAUUCGGUUUCUUGUUGUGACUAUUGCCUGAGCCUUUCGGAGAAUUCGGUAUUGCUAUGCUAGUCUGCUUGUAGAGUGAAUUGGGGGCCAUUUCUCCUGAGAUAGGCAGCAUGGUACCAGCUAUAACCUCCUUGAACUGGCUACUUGAAAGAAGUCUUCCUUCAGUGAUAUCACUUCUUCCAAGAUGUGCUGAAAUCUGACUACUUCAGGAUUAUGUGGAAUGAGGAAAUUUGGAGCUUCUGCUUUUAAACCCUUUUGGAAAUGCACUGGAGACAACUAGUURCUUCUUAUUAUUACACAAAGAAAGCUGCCUGUGAAAGGGUAUGCGGAGUUAAAGGAUAUAUUCAUCAUAUUUGAAGAAUAGCUUACAUUGUCUCAUUACUCAUCCUUAUAUAAAAAGAUCCAAAUUAAGGAACUACACACUCCUAUUUGUCAAAGGAAAAUGUCACUGGAGUGAGCAUGGAACACGUCCCAAUUCCAAAAAGAAGAUAAGUAUGUUUUUGAACACUUCCAGAAAGGAAAAUCACUCAGAGUGUACAUAUGCUGCUGGCAAACUAUUAGGAAUAUUAUUUACACCUGUUCAGGACUAUCCACAAUGAGUAUYAUGGUCUGUGAACCAGUGGCCCAUUCACAGCAUACACUAGAACUUUUUUUCACUUUAUUAAAUUUGCCAUUCUUUUUUUAAAAAUUUGUUUUAAUUAG